UAAUUCAGACAAAAGAGGCUCUAGAUAAGAUCAAAGAAACCACUACUAAUACUGCUAUUACUUUUAUUACAAAGAGCAAUGCAAAGCAAUUCCCUACUUAUUCAUCUGAAGAAAGAG